GGCAUGGUGGCUGAGUGGUAAAGCACUAGGCUUCCAAACCGGGGGUGUCAGGUUCGAAUCUUGAUGAAGACU
rnacentral:tRNA from 1 species